AUGAUCACUCGGGCAGCACAUAUUACUUACACUGGAAUGAUACAGAGAAAAUCGAUUAGUAUGGCCCCUGUGCAAGGAUAACACGCAGAUUCGUGAAGUGAUUUACACUGGA
ensembl:snRNA U6 U6 spliceosomal RNA